rnacentral:rRNA from 1 species
AGGACGAACGCUGGCGGCGUGCUUAACACAUGCAAGUCGAGCGGUAAGGCCUUUCGGGGUACACGAGCGGCGAACGGGUGAGUAACACGUGGGUGAUCUGCCCUGCACUUCGGGAUAAGCCUGGGAAACUGGGUCUAAUACCGGAUAUGACCUCAGGUUGCAUGACUUGGGGUGGAAAGAUUUAUCGGUGCAGGAUGGGCCCGCGGCCUAUCAGCUUGUUGGUGGGGUAAUGGCCUACCAAGGCGACGACGGGUAGCCGACCUGAGAGGGUGACCGGCCACGACUGGGACUGAGACACGGCCCAGACUCCUACGGGAGGCAGCAGUGGGAAUAUGCACAAUGGGCGAAAGCCUGAUGCAGCGACGCCGCGUGAGGGAUGACGGCCUUCGGGUUGUAAACCUCUUUCAGCGAGGACGAAGCGCAAGUGACGUACUGCAGAGAAGCAACGCUAACACGUGCCAGCAGCCGA